GCUUUCCUGUGGCUUAGUCAUCAGAGCAUAGCGCUAGCAACGUCAAGGUUGUAGGUUCAAACCCCAGGGAAAGCG